GCUGGAAGAAAAUGUUGAAAGUAAAAUAUCUAAUACAAUUACUUCCCAAUUCUGUAGAUCCCCCAUACUGGGCCUCAAGGAUACAGGUAAGAACAGGUGGAUAUUGAGACAAACACAAACACACAAGUAAAUGGGGAAAAGAUAACUACAGAGAGCUAAAACAUAACUAUUUAAUGAUUUGACUAACAUUAUUAACAGUACAGAUUGUUAACUCACUCACUACAUUUUGAGUUUGGUAUGAAGAAUUUAGAAUGAGAACAAUUCUAUAAGGGAAUUAAAAACUAUCACAACUGAAAACUCAUAAAGUAGUCCAUACAAGACAGUAUGAUACCAAAGUUAAUUUGUAUCAGAAUGAAAUAUCACUGAACACAUCUGCUAGUUUCAUAGAACAAGAAAAGUACUACAGCUGUGAGUUCAUUUUUACUACCAAGUUGUUAUUUCUAAAUUAAGCACACAAAUAUCAAACCAGGUUUCAUGUUUGACUCUAACACACAAGACAGCGUGAUAGAAUUCUGUAGAUCCCAAGGACGUACAAGAGCCUGCACAGACUUAUAAAGGCAAAAACAACUCAAAGACUCAAGUCAUGUUUCAACAAUACUGCUUAAUACCAGCAUAUUAAGAAUGACUACACAGAGUUAAGAGUAGAAACAAAAUGGGUAUAGCAUGGCCCAAAAUCAACUAUAUAAAAUAUAUAUAGAUAUGUAGCAUUUUCAGAAAUACAAACCUGCAAUAAAAAUAAGCUGUUCACACACAAAUAUUGCAAUUGAAUAAAUGUCUAAGUUUGGUUUUUAAAGGAAAAACUAGACUGCUUUAAAUAGUAGGUGAAACAGGCUGUCACACCAACAUUUUUGAUCUGCAAAGCCAUCCUAUACAUUUUAACUAGAUUUAAGUUGCAAACAAACAGUGUUCAAAAGACUCACUACUAAGAAAAUGUAUGGCCUCUUGUAGGCUCAGUAUAUCUUUAUUACUUAUAUGACACUGCUGUAGUACUGUUUCAUUUAGUUUUUACCUUUGUGUUAUCCUGUUAUCAUAAAACGUCAAUGACAUAACUGCAUAUCUGUUGACAUGUUUUGCAAAAACCUUUUCUAGAGACAGAUCAACUUGUACAUGUUAUCUAAAACAGUACUUCUUGAUGCAUUUACUAAAAACUUUGGUACCUGCUUGUGAAUGAAAAUGCAUAAAAAUACACUGACAUUUGUGUGAGCUGUGAUAAAUCCAAAAUAGAAUCAUGCAAACUACCAUAACUAAUUAUAAUGGAAUGAUCAGUAUAUCUACCUGCCAAGACUUUUCUCCUCAGCUACUGCUUUUUGGUAUCUCACCAACUGGCUUAAACUAUCUUGGCCUCAGAAUCCAUGUUCUGCCAGUCUAAAUCAAAUGUCUUAUUUCUUCCCAUUUAAUGUGUCAUUACAGUUUUGUAUUAAUUUGUCUGAUAAAUUUUAAAAGACUAUAUAAAUUACUUUUUCUGGAAAGGAAUAAUCAUAUAUAAGGAGGAGGUUGAACAUGUGCAAAAGGACGUGAUAGACCAGGAAGAGAUAUCAACGGUACCCCAGUCAAUUACCUGGCAACAAAAGUAUGUAUAUCAGGUCCUCAUCGCCUCUCUCUUUUGACUAGCCCAUUUUAGUCAAUCACAGUUCUGAACUGAACAUCCUGUUCACUGGAAACAACAAAGAUUUAUAUGAAAUGCAUAAUUAUUUGAAGAGAAUAUCUACAUUGGGAGUGGAUGAAUGAUUCUAACAUAUCAAAUCCAGAGAUGCCACAGAAUUACCUGCUCUGGCAGAGGAUAAGUAAGGAGGCAAUGUAAUAUAAAAAUACACAAUGGACUAUUGUGGAACCAUACCAUUUUUUUCUUCAUGAGGCAUUUUUUUCUUCCCAAAUUGCAUCACACAAUUUGGAACUUUCUACAAAUAAACAUCAUUCUCUGUGUGCUAAAUACUUUUAAAAAGAAAAGUAUAGGCAGUUCCUAAGCUUCAGUGGACAUUGCACAGAGAACAGAUGAAACCCUUUUUCAGUCUGCCUUUUUCACGCAGCUGGGAUUGAGUGGAGAGAAUGACUGGGACCAUGCCUCACCGACUCCAACUUUCCCAUAUAAAAUGUUGCAAGGCAGGCAAUGGCAGAUGUUUUAGGAAUGCACAAUUGCAAUUACAACAGAAAAUACUGCUUGAGUUACUCAUACCCUGUUCUCCUGUUUUUGUAUAAGUGCUAAUUAAAAAUUGAGGGUUUAAUUUUGACCUUUUUUUGUGGAUACAUGACAUACCAACACACUAACACAAAUGCAUUAGUUCAGUAAGAAAAUAAGAAUAUUAAAAUAUCUCCUGUCUAAAAAGCCAUUUGCUAUAAAACAAGGAGCAACAUACCAACUGCAAGAGGUCAUUUUCAGUUUUUGGCAGAGUAGCCACAUUUACAUAUUAAAUAUAUUUUUUUAAAGGCAGCAUCACAUAAAAAUGCAUAACCAUCUAAAGAAAUUAAGAGUAUCAAAUAUGUAUAUUUGCAGACACAUGUAGCUGAUCUAAUCACACUUGCAUAAAAGAAGACACUCUUUUCAUCCCAAAGUUGAGGUCCACUAAACAAAUUGCAUAUAAAAAAAUAUUUACCAAAAAGAAGGCGACUGUCAGAAUUUCAACAUGUAUGAAAAAACUAAAGACAAGUGCUUGGAUCCAGGUACAGCUAUUUAUGUAUAGAAGUAUGUUUAAGCUUAUUUACUCUCAGCUGCUUAUUCUGUGAUCUGUAAGCUGAAAAAUUCUACCUUGGCUGUAUCACAGAUUAUCGGAUUUGAGGCAGAGGAACUGUCCUCCAUACCAAAGCAGUUCUUCAAUUUUGUCUUCCAAUCUGGAGAAAAUGACUACAAAAAAGCCAGCUGUUUUUACAAAUAUACACUCUGCUUAGUAUGAUAAAUUGUAAAGAUAAUGUUUGCAUACCUGAAAAAUUCAAAGUUGAGACAAGCUUUGGGUAAGAAAAAUUUAUCAUCUUGCUUGAACCACAGUUUGCUCAUAGCAGUGUCCUGCAUUUAAAAAUAACACAUAUUUCUACAUUAAACACUGUAUUUUUAAUCAUAUUUUAAUAUUCUUCUUAAUGACAAAGGUACAACAUCUACACAGGUGGAAUACCCAAAAGCUCAACAGAGGCCUUUUUCCUUCUCUUACAACUCAAGUGUAGACACCUGAAGAACAGAUAUAAAGGGAUGUUUGGAACUCCUAUUCAUAUAUGGGGCCACUGUGGUACUAUUUCUCUAAAAUCAUGCAUCCCCUAUAAUCUAAGCUUAAGAAUGGAAGACUAGUUGUCAACAGCAAAAGUGAUGAUGGACUCCAAAUCCUUGUCCAAAUCUAUGUCCAAAUUUGCAACAGGCUGAUCUUGCUUCAUUUUGUGAUGACGUAUUCUAUGGGAGUUCGUAUUUAAUCCCUGCACAUAAGGGCACUGUCUCCAUUGUUACUUAAAAUGAAAGCUUUACAUAUCUGAAUACAGUAAACUAGUCGAACUUUGAUAUGUAAGGUAAAAUUACCUUUAACAUUAGAGCUAAACGGAUUACAUUCACAUUUACCAUCUAAACUUAACAUUGUUUAUUUAUUUAUUUAUUUCAUUUAUAUACUGCUCUUCUCCCCCAGGAUACAACACUGUUCAAGUUGUAUUACAAAAGUAUUGAUCUUGCACAGUUAAUGGGAAGAGGAAUGUCCACAAAUUUUAUGAUUCGGAAGUAAUAUACUACACUAUGUAACACAAUUUUUGUUCCUGGGUUAUAAAUGUCAUUUUCUAAUUGGUUCUAUCAUAAAAACAUGGAAAGUUUCCUAAACUUCAAAAACUUUGUUUUUGCGGGACAUCCUGCAGAACAUUUUGCUAUAGGUUUUUUAAAAAUAAAUAAUGAGUCUCAUCUAAUUCAACAUAGUUUGUGGCAGACACAAAAACGAAGUUUCUAGAGUAUAACAACUACUUUCAAAAUAAGUAUUGCACAAUUAAACAGGAAAUAACAUUUUCAAACCAGAAACAGAAGUUUUCUAAUUUUGUUACAUAAUGUUAUAGUUUAUUAAUUAUGUAAAAAAAAUAUUAGAAUAUGAGAGAUAAUUCCACUGUUUUUGUGGUGUACUUAUUAAAAUUUUAUAGUGAUAACUCUCUACACAGGUUGCUGAGACAGUGACACCUUUGCUUUCUGAUAAUUCAACGUAUACUAACAUUGUUUCAGGCACAAAAUAAAAUAAAAUAUUGUGUAUAAAAUUA